CCGCAAUUGGGAUUUUCGAAAUCGGUUCUAAUUGUGGAUUUUUGAAAUCCCUAAUUGUGAAUUUUUUGAAAUUGUUAAUCCCUAAUUGCGUUGUGGAUUUAGUAUGAAAUUGUUUAAUCUGGAAUUUCACAACACCUAAUUGCUGCCUAGUUAGAAUACUCGGUCCCUAAUUGGAUAUGUUGAAAAAUUUUGCUAAAAAAGUUUCUAAUCGUGUAUUUGUCCAUUGUUCUUCCCUAAUCGGAAGUGGCAGCGAUGGCGGUAGGAUGGAAUGAUGCAAUACCACCAAGCUUUCCAAACAGAGUAACCAACUCAAAAAACCCUUCACACAGGAGGAACUGUAGGGUCCUGAUGCAUUACGUGGGGCCAUGAUACGAUCAUCCUGACCGUUGAUGCAAUGGGACCGAUCAGCCCUAAAAUGGACCACCUUAAAAGAUCCGAACCCUUAUAUCCCACCUAGGAAAUGUUUAGGGGCAUUCCCAUAUAGAUCAACCGCCUGGAUCAUCGAACCAUGGGCCCCAUAAGUAGCAACAAAUUCAAACCUGGGAAACUUAUGAGGCAUCUCCAUCCACGGUGGGUCCAUUAGAUUAACGGUUUGGAUCAUUGAAUCAUGGCUCCACGUAUACCAAAUGAGCUCUUCCUGACACUAUUCAUGUCCUGGUGCAUCAGGACCUUAGAACUACACAGACGGACAUGGAGAUAAGGGGAUUUACUUGAUACUCUGGAGAAUGUCCCUGAUAUCCCUACUAGCGAAUCUCCUCCAGAGAGACCAGGAGAACCUGACUGUACAUAGUUCUUGAAGACACAAAGGUGCAAGAUCGGUUUUAGACGCAAGUUCAACCAUCCAAAAGAUAAAGUUGAAGUUCUAAAUGCAUAUGUAGGUGGUACUUCUGCAGAAGUUAUUGGAUCCACUUCAUUCUUGCCCCUAUGAGAAUUUUGACACUUACUCUAAUAUAUGGAUCAUGCGAUAGCAGGUUGCAUCAGAAACUGCUGAUGCUUCAGAAGUUCUAAAUCUGUUGAUUUCAAAUUUAUUUUUCUAUUGACUCGGAACUCAAGAGUCCAAUCGUAUUGAAUCACCAGUUGAUUUUGAAUUUAUUUUUCUUCAACUUUGAUUUGCACUAUGUAGGUGCAUAAUCAUAUCAUUUGCCUUUUCGAA